UCAAUGGGCGAAAGCCUGACGGAGCAACGCCGCGUGAGUGAUGAAGGUCUUCGGAUCGUAAAACUCUGUUAUUAGGGAAGAACAUACGUGUAAGUAACUAUGCACGUCUUGACGGUACCUAAUCAGAAAGCCACGGCUAACUACGUGCCAGCAGCCGCGGUAAUACGUAGGUGGCAAGCGUUAUCCGGAAUUAUUGGGCGUAAAGCGCGCGUAGGCGGUUUUUUAAGUCUGAUGUGAAAGCCCACGGCUCAACCGUGGAGGGUCAUUGGAAACUGUAAAACUUGAGUGCAGAAGAGGAAAGUGGAAUUCCAUGUGUAGCGGUGAAAUGCGCAGAGAUAUGGAGGAACACCAGUGGCGAAGGCGACUUUCUGGUCUGUAACUGACGCUGAUGUGCGAAAGCGUGGGGAUCAAACAGGAUUAGAUACCUGGGGGUAGUCCUAA
rnacentral:rRNA from 1 species